rnacentral:rRNA from 1 species
CCCGCUGAACUUAAGCAUAUCAAUAAGCGGAGGAAAAGAAACCAACAGGGAUUGCCUUAGUAACGGCGAGUGAAGCGGCAAAAGCUCAAAUUUGAAAUCGGCCCCCAGGUCGAGUUGUAAUUUGUAGAUUGUAUCUUGAGAGCGGAUUAAAGUCUGUUGGAACACAGCGCCUUAGAGGGUGACAGCCCCGUAAAAUCUAUUCUCAUUGUAAGAUACUUUCGAAGAGUCGAGUUGUUUGGGAAUGCAGCUCUAAGUGGGAGGUAAAUUCCUUCUAAAGCUAAAUAUUGACGAGAGACCGAUAGCGAACAAGUACUGUGAAGGAAAGAUGAAAAGCACUUUGAAAAGAGAGUGAAAAAGUACGUGAAAUUGUUAAA